AGAGUCAGGCUACCUGGGUUAACAAUAUUCUCACCCAGCCAUUUACUAGCUGUGUGAUCUUGGGAAGGUUUCUUGAUCCGUGAGCCUCAGUUACAUUAUCUAUAAAAUGAAGAUGAUAUUAUUCUCUACAUCACCUGUCUAUUGUGAAAAAUAAGCUUAGAUUAGACACUGAACCACAGCAGGGACAAUUGAGAAAGUUGUGUAAUUAUGGAAUGAAGCAUUCUACAUGUUUUUCAUUUGACCUACAGCACUACAGUGGUCCUGGGACUGUUGAAUUCACUCAAGUAAGAUACAUACAUCCUUGGGCUGAUGAAAACAUCUAUCAGUUUCUCUUUCCUGUUAUUCUGGGUCCCAGAUCACAGGAGAAUACUGUGUCUCAGCGGACAUGCUCAGAGAGAUUCUGUUGGAAUGGCAGUAUGUAAAUGAGCCAAAUACAGACCCACCACAAAGAAGAUGAUCUGAGAGGGCUAAUGAGAAAUGGGUAAUUUUCAUUCAUUUCUAAAAGAUAGAAAACAAUUGGAAGAGUAUAGAUCAAAGAAGGUGAGCAAAGAAAGCUGAAGACCAGAAUAUAUCCAGCUGCAGCUGAGGAGAAAGAAAAUUAGCCCUGCCGUAUACAGCGGAGACAGUGCGUGAAGAAAUGGCACGUAAAAACACAUGAAGACAAGAGAACUGUGGCUGGAAACUGGGGCCUAAUGGAAGUUCUGUAUACGGAAUAGGGCUCUUCUACUCCUCUGCUGAACACGGAAGAGCCUUCGUGUAAGAACUACCCUUCACAACCAGACUGAGGGUUUGUUCUCAAAAGCAACUAAGGAAUUGUCUGGGGAGGAAGACAGCAGCCAUGGAAUAUUGCUAGCUGAGAGCACAUCUUUCCUCAUCUGGCCAGAACCCUGCCUACUCACCCAGGGCAACAAUCCCUGCCUAUAUACACUGGGCUCUCAGUCAGCCUGUCUACUGUUUCAUUCCUAAACAUGAAAGGAAAACAAAGGAUUACCAGAUAUUCGGAGGAAAGUCUGAGAUAAUAAAAGAAAGGCCAAGAUAAACAACAGGAACACAUGACCUAGAAGGAACACAGAAUUCAGGGAAUAGAAGAAAAAAGAAUUUUUAAAAUAAAAGAACAAAAAUCCUCGAAUUGGUAUUUCUAGCAACAUUUAAGAAAAUAUGCAUAAAACCAGAACAGAAUACUCUGAGAAAGAAUACUUGGAAAUUUACAAAAAUAAUAGUAUAUAAAAAUCCAACAGAAGCACUGGAAGAAGAGGGUAUGGCAAGGUCUCAGAAUGUAAUACACACACACACACAAAACAAAGAAACCGAAAAUAUGAGAUAAAAGGUAAGAGAUGUGGAAGAUCUACGCAGAGGGUCCAUCAUCCAACAUACAGACUCUAGAAAGAGAAACAAAGAAACAAGAGGAGAGGAAAUUAUCAAAGAAAUAAUAUAAUUUCUUAGAAUUGACAGGAGACAUGGAAUUGAAAGUCUCUUCAAAAAAUAACCACAUUAAAUAAAAAAAGAACCACUCUAGAUUCAUCACUGAAAAUUCAAAACAACAAAAACGAGGAGAAUAUUUUUUUAAAAAGGAAAUUAUAAGUAAACAGUGAGGAGUAAAAAUCACAAUAGUAUCUGACUGCUCGGAAGCAACACUGGGUACUAUAUGUUAAGGCAGGAAUUAUCUCAAUGUUCUCUUGGAAAGGCUUUUUCUAAGAAUUGAUACUCCACCAAACUAACAAUCAAGGAGGGCAGAAUAAAAGGAAGUUCAGGCAUGGAGAGAUGGAGACUUAUGGCAUACUUCUUAGGAGGUUACUUAAGGGUGUAGUUAAGAAAGAUGAAGAAAAGGAAUCCAGGAAACAGUACUAACCAGAAACCAGUUAAGGGAAAGUUUAGAGUGAUGGCUUAUAGUAAUUUUAGAGAAAGCCUAGUCCUGAUUGAAGUAGGAGGAUAGAGGAGUUCCUGGAGAGUCCACUAGAACAACGCCUCCAGUAAAGAUGGGGUAGUGGAUAAAAUAGGUAACAUAACAGCAUAGAUUAUAUAAUGGGAAGGGAGGGAAGAGGAGGGGAAGGAGAAAGAAAGACAGCAUGAAAAGAAAGACAGAGAGGGAGGGAGAGAGGGAUGAAUGGAUGAAAGAAUGGAGGGAGGAAGAGGAAGGAAGGGACAAUUAGAAACUUAAGGAAAAGAAAAAAGAUAAAAACUAAAAAUGAAGCUAACUAAAAUUCGGCACAAUUUUGAUCAACAGGUGGAAUAUAUCUAAUAUAUUUUUUUAAAAAUUCCCCUUUGACAUCGGAACCACUGAGAAGUGUAAUCACAUAUUAUUAAAUACUUGGAUCAGUAAGUCACAAUAUUUACAUAAUCAUAACAAUGCAAAUUCAGUUUAUUAGUUUUUCUAUUUUUAAAAAUAAACCACAGACAAAUUACAGCACAGAACAUCAUAUCAACCCUGACUUAAGGAAAAACAUAAACUUAGAUUUAGAGAUUGGAAAGUAGAGGGAGAAAUGGAGGGAAGCGUAAGAGUGCUAAUGUUUUUAUUUAAAAAAAAAAAUAGCAGGGGAGCUCCAAGAAAUAGUCUUCUGUUUAAAAGAACAAGAAAUGGAAGUUUAAGUAGAUUUUUCUGAGGUUGGAGAAAUGAUUACUUAAGGAAUUGAAAAAAGUGACAAGACAAUAUGGGUAGAAACACAAGGAGGGAAUAAUGUGUGGGAGUAAAUCCUCGUUGUAGCCAGAAAUCAAUAGAUACCGUCUACAUUUCAUAGUGGCAUAAGCAUAUGGUUUUUAGAAAUAAAAAGGUGACAUACCAGAAAAACCAAAAGUCAGACAGUUAACUAAAGAGGCAUUUGGAGAGCAAGACUAAGGGUACGGAGGGGUGGAAAAGGGGACUGUCCUUUUCAUGAAGUGGUCUUCCAAACUCAAAUAUUUAACUGUAACAUUUCAUUAUUAAGUCAUUCACAUAUAUUUUUUCAAAAAAUUUUAAAUAUUGAGAAAUAUCAUAUACAUGAGAGAACAAAGAGACAUAUACAACCAUGCUUCCUGCAGCACUUUUUGUAAUAAAUAUAAAAAAGUGUUCAAACACCUUAAACAUCCACCAGUAGAGGAAUAAAUGAAUUGUGCUAUGUUUGUAUAAUGGAAUACUACAGACCAGUCCAAAUGUGUGAACUAAAUUAACUACAUCAACUUGGAGAGAGCUCAAAACACAAUGUUCAGAGAUAUUUUUGGAAUAAUAUGAAAGGUACAUUACAUUUUCAGUACUUCAAAGGAUUACUCUUCAUUGGUCAUGGAUACACACAUGUGAAAGUAGGAAAGUAUAAAUGCACAAACUAGACAAACACAGGCUACAUUCUUGAAAUCAUGGGUUCCUCCAGGAAGAGAAGGAGGGACCGGAAAUAGUGGAACAAGCAGGACAAAAUUUACCUGUAGUUUUUAUUUAUUUUAAAAAUGAAGAAAAUGCAGAAAGUUUUAAAAUGUUAUGUUAAUAUAGAGCUGUUUUCAUAUUGUCCUAUAUUUUCAUCUUUAUAUUAUCUGGAAAAACUAAUUUUAAAAGAGAAAAGGAAGUGGAACAUAC